rnacentral:rRNA from 1 species
ACGCUCGACACCUACGGGAGGCAGCAGUGGGAAUAUUGGGCAAUGGAGGCAACUCUGACCCAGCAACGCCGCGUGAAUGAUGAAGGUCUUCGGAUUGUAAAGUUCUGUGACGGGGGACGAACACAAUGACGGUACCCCGAUAGCAAGCCACGGCUAACUACGCGCCAGCAGCCGGGUAAUCUGAGCGGGCUGGCAAGGC